rnacentral:rRNA from 1 species
GUCAUAUGCUUGUCUCAAAGAUUAAGCCAUGCAUGUCUCAGUACAAGCCAAAUUAAGGUGAAACCGCGAAAGGCUCAUUAAAUCAGUUAUGGUUCCUUAGAUCGUACCCACAAUUACUUGGAUAACUGUGGUAAUUCUAGAGCUAAUACAUGCAAACAGAGCUCCGACCGGAGACGGAAGGAGUGCUUUUAUUAGAUCAAAACCAAUCGGUGGCGGGUUCGCUCGUCAUCGUACAACUUGGUGACUCUGAAUAACUUUACGCUGAUCGCACGGUCAUCGCACCGGCGACGCAUCUUUCAAAUGUCUGCCUUAUCAACUGUCGAUGGUAGGUUCUGCGCCUACCAUGGUUGUAACGGGUAACGGGGAAUCAGGGUUCGAUUCCGGAGAGGGAGCCUGAGAAACGGCUACCACAUCCAAGGAAGGCAGCAGGCGCGCAAAUUACCCACUCCCGGCACGGGGAGGUAGUGACGAAAAAUAACGAUACGGGACUCAUCCGAGGCCCCGUAAUCGGAAUGAGUACACUCUAAACCCUUUAACGAGGAUCAAUUGGAGGGCAAGUCUGGUGCCAGCAGCCGCGGUAAUUCCAGCUCCAAUAGCGUAUAUUAAAGUUGUUGCGGUUAAAAAGCUCGUAGUCGAAUUUGUGUCUCGCGCCGCCGGUUCAUCGUCCGCGGUGUUAACUGGCGAGUCGCGAGACGUCCUGCCGGUGGGCUUAGCUCGCGAGGGCGGCCCAACUCAAUCCUGCCGCGGUGCUCUUCAUUGAGUGUCGAGGUGGGCCGGCACGUUUACUUUGAACAAAUUAGAGUGCUUAAAGCAGGCUAAAACUUCGCCUGAAUACUGUGUGCAUGGAAUAAUGGAAUAGGACCUCGGUUCUAUUUUGUUGGUUUUCGGAACCCCGAGGUAAUGAUUAAUAGGAACGGAUGGGGGCAUUCGUAUUGCGACGUUAAAGGUGAAAUUCUUGGAUCGUCGC